AUCAGAUCUUCUUUUUUUUCUUUUUUUUUUUUUUUUUUUAUUUAUCAUCUCUAAUCAAAGUCCGAAUUUUUAAGUUUCAAAGAAUGGGGAACUAUACAUUCAAGUUAGGAGAUACUUAUGAAGAUAACAGGCAAAGAGCUAUAACCUGUGUUUAUAGUUUUGGAGGAGUUAUUUCUGUAAAAUUUUAUCCACAAAUGAACGCACUACUCGUGUUUGGAGAAGGAUUUGAUGAGACCGAAAUACAGAGGAAGGUAGAUGAGAUUUAUUACCCAAACAAUGAAAAGAGGUGCCCAUGGUGUGAUCAUGUGCUUAAUAAUGAUCAUAUGCUUAAUAAAUCAUUGUUCCAGAUAGCGCUAGACAUUAUGUGGGCGGUGACCCAACGCCUAGCGCCUAAACGCCUAAU